rnacentral:rRNA from 1 species
UACAGAGGCCCCUAGCGUUGUUCGGAAUUACUGGGCGUAAAGCGAGUGUAGGCGGUCAAGUAAGUCAGAUGUGAAAGCCCAUGGCUCAACCCUGGAACUGCAUUUGAUACUGCUUGGCUAGAGUGCGUGAGAGGAAAGUGGAAUUUCUGGUGUAGGGGUGAAAUCCGUAGAUAUCAGAAGGAAUACCAAUGGCGUAGGCAACUUUCUGGCACGUAACUGACGCUGAGACUCGAAAGAGUGGGUAGCAAACAGG